GUUUCAAAAGUGUAGUGGUCAUCAUGUCUGCUUUACAGGCAGAAAGUCCUUGGUUCAAUCCCCAGUGGAACCA
rnacentral:tRNA from 1 species